AUGAUUCAUGUGUACCAAUCUGCCCUUAAAUAUAUUUAUGUUCACUCUUUCCAUACUUGCCUUACUCUCGUCCCUUGCGCCAUCGGCGCAACGGGUCAUCUAGUUUUAGAUUACAAGAGCAUGGUAGCACACAAGUUUAUUGUUGACAACGAAGAUAGGAUGCUCUUGUAUAAACUUAGAUUCAAUAAGAAACAUUUUGAGAUUAUUAUUUUGCAUGCGCCUUUGUUGUUUGAUUUGCUUGCAGAAAAUUUUCUCGUCACACCGAAGGCAGUGAACAAUCAUCGAGCCCAAACUUUUACUCCAGAACCUGAACGUGAGCCGGAACCUGAGCUGGACCCUUAUCGUGCAUCAUCUGUCCAGUGGGAGUCGGAGAUGACCAGCCAGUGGUAUCCUGAUUACACCUCUCAUUACACUGGGGAGAGUAGCUGCGGUCCUUGGUAUUAA
rnacentral:rRNA from 1 species